UGGGUCUGGGGGACAUCGGUGUCCCUGGGGUGUCCCAGGGUGGGUGACAUGUGUUCAUGUCUCAGGCCUUGAGGGUCCUUUGCUGUCCCGAGCGUGGGGACUCUGGUGGCACCUUGGGGAAUCCACUGAUGGGAUGUCCCCAGGGACUGGGAGGUGAACAGGAUGUCCCCAGGAUGGUGACAGUGUCCCCAGGCGUGUCCCUGUCCCCAGGUGUCACACAUGUGUCCCUGUUCUCAUGUAUGCAGGUGUCCCCAGGUGAUGCAGGCAGAGCUGGGGCCUUCCCCUUCCUUGGACACCUCUGGUGGCCCUUCAAGAUGUGACCCCAGUGUUCCCAAGUGUCCCCAUGGCCUCCAGUGGCCUUUCCAGAUUGUGCUGAGCUUCGAGGACCGGCAGGGCCUGGACUGGACCAGCCAGGCCUUGACCCCCCAGAGCACAUGGAGGUAUCUGAAAUCCACAACUGGACCCCAAAAAUGCACACCUGGAUAUAAAAAAAUACAUCUGAACCCCAGAAUACAAACCUGAACCCCAAAAUAUACACUUGGAACCCAAAA